UACGUAGGGGGCAAGCGUUGUCCGGAAUCAUUGGGCGUAAAGAGCGUGUAGGCGGUCCGGUCAGUCGGUUGUGAAAGUCAAGGGCUCAACCCUUGAAUGCCGGCCGAUACUGCCGGGCUAGAGUCCGGAAGAGGUGAGUGGAAUUCCUGGUGUAGCGGUGAAAUGCGCAGAUAUCAGGAGGAACACCGAUGGCGAAGGCAGCUCUCUGGGACGGUACUGACGCUGAGGCGCGAAAGCGUGGGGAGCGAACAGG
rnacentral:rRNA from 1 species